rnacentral:rRNA from 1 species
UACGUAGGGGGGCAAGCGUUGUCCGGAUUUAUUGGGCGUAAAGAGCGUGUAGGCGCCAGACAGGUCCGUUGUGAAAACUAGAGGCUUAACCUCUAGACGUCGAUGGAAACCGUCUGGCUAGAGUCCGGAAGAGGAGAAUGGAAUUCCAAGUGUAGCGGUGAAAUGCGUAGAGAUUUGGAGGAACACCAGUGGCGAAGGCGACUUUCUGGUCUGUAACUGACACUGAGGCGCGAAAGCGUGGGGAGCGAACAGG